AAUGAUAGAAGAAAUGAGAUCCUUAUUCACAGUUACAAUACUAAGUGCUGGUGAUAAUUUCAAGAAAAAUGACAAACUGAGUCCAAAGCAUGAAAGUUGAAAAGCUGCAAUAGAGAGGAACCACAAUUGGAAAAAUACUGGGAGGCUGGGAAUGAGGAUUUCUCAGCUUUAUCCCUACUUCUGCUAAUCAAAUGUGACCAUCACCUAGGCACUCUCUGUCUGGAAGCCAAUGGGAAGUUUUGCUAUGACUUAUCUAGGUUUUGCCUCAUAUUCCUGAAGCAUUUGGCUUAGCUUCUUUUCAGUUUUGGCUACUGAGCUCUGGUCAGCAAGAACUUUAUUUUUCAGGUGUCACCCUUUCUUUAAUUGGAAAAGCCUAUGAUGUGUGAACUACUUAAGGCAUGGUACCAUGCCUUAAUCAGCAGUUAUGCUGUAUUUGUGCAGUUGAUAUUCACAUGAAUAUUUGUGCACUAUUAUUUUAUUGUAGAUGCAAAGUAUGUUUCACGUUUGGUGAAGGAGAAGCAAAAUUCACAUUACUCUUCAAUUAUUAAACAUGAUGAUACACACUUCUAAAGCCACCACGAGAGGUGAUACACAUGCUAACUUAAUGCUUGAGGGAUAACAAGAUAUCUAAUAAGCCUUUUGUUUGCAUAUAGGAGUAAAAUUACUGUAGAUGUCACAGGAAAACACAUUGUAAAUUUGAACCUCAGCAUUUAGCCCUAAACAAAACAGGGGGGAGAUCAUCUUAUGUAUAUCCAGAAGUAAUAUUACAUGUGCUGUGUAAUGGAAAUGCUGAGUCGUGACCUGAAGCAGUGAUGGAGCACCUGGUGGGAAGCUCAGGUGUACUGCAAUGCAAUGCACCUGUGUGAUUGGAAGGAGUAGAGCCAGGAUCCACCCCCUCCCAGACCUCAUUUAAGGGUUGGCAGUGCAGGUAAGGGUAUCUCAGUGGAGAACCUUGCAUUCCUAAGGCCUUCUGGAGCUUCAGCAGAUAAAAGAACAUGAUUCUUAAACAUCAGAGAAUCACCCCAGGGAAGGCAAAUGCCAGCUGUAUGUAAACUCAGAACAGUGACAGAUCUACCUUGUGGCUGGCAGAGCUGAGAAGUUACCUGGCAUGUCUGUGUACUUCAUAGAACAACAGGGUUCAUUAUUGAGUCAGUUCCAUUUAACUUUAGCAGCUUGAGCUGUCAAGAGUGGCUGUAGCAGACAUGAUAUUGGACACACACCCUGAGAUUGGAUCCUGCACGGCCUUUUAAAAGCUGUCAAAGAAGAGCUAUUUGAGCAAGGAUUUGCCUCAGCUAUUCAAUUUAGUGAAGUGAGAGUCAGCUGUAGUUUUACUUUAUUGAAUGCUGUAGAUCUUACUCAUCACCUAAUUCAUUUUCACAGGCAGACAUUCACCAGCUCAAGUCACUUAGGAAUAUAAAGACAUUCCUGAGAAGACUGUAUUACCAGCACAUCACAGCCACUGUUUAGUACUGUAAACUUUACUCAUUCUCAAUCUGCUUAAGAUCAAGCUUAGGUAGCACCUUAUUAGCUUUCUACUCAUCCACUGAAAGUUAUUAGAUUUACAUGUCAAGAAGUUGCCUGCAUCAGUUUUUUCCUCCACGUGCUGUUUUCUCAAGCCAUGCCAGCCCUAGUGUGAGAAAAAAUACAACUAUUUGUACAAGAAAGCAAUCAUUUAAGUAUGUUUUGUCCUCAUAAGAACUCUAAUAAGGGAAAUAAAAUAACUGCCAUGGCUGCCUUUACUAACUACAGCCAUCAGCUGGAUGAAAACAGGUAUUCAAAAGAAGUUUUUUCUUGUUACUUGAGCUUAAACAAGAUAUUGAGUAUCUGCUAUCAUUCUGCCUUUCCCGGAUAGGCUGCUUAAUCUGUAAUAAGAUAAACAGUCCUUUUUGACUCCCUUCUAAAAUGGAAAUACACCAAAAUGGCACAAUCAACUGCAGAUAUUCACUUAUGAGACAGAAUGAGAGAAUGAAUUCUAUUAAAAGUAUCCAGUAGAAAACAUUUUGAUAAUGCGUGGGAGUUUAUUAUUUACGAUUUCAUUGGCUCCCGGUUUGUUCCUUAUCUGAAAUUGUGUAUCUUUGUCACAUCAACUAUUUUAAGAAAAAUGGUAACUUUAGUGCUAAGAUAUACUAUAACAAUUGGCAUUUGGCACUUAAAAAAAAAAUCUUUACUUAGAUGCCAGCAAAACAGAAGAUGAAUACAAGCAAAAAGAUAACAUGAAGCUAGAAUCAUUUCUGAAGCAUGAGUAAGGACAUCACUUUUCUAAGAAAGUAAAGAAUAAGUAGAGAUGUUAUCUAAAUUGAUUCUAAAGGAGCA